rnacentral:lncRNA from 1 species
CCGCACCGAUACCCGAACCGCAGCCGAAAAAAACCGCACCGAAAAGCACCGCACCGAACUAGGAAAAACCGCACCGCACCGAAUCUGUUCGGUUCGGUUUUCGGUUUCGGCCCGGCAGAAACCGAACCGAACCGCAAAACCGAAACACUGUUCAUUUAGGGAAAAACGACGUCGUUUUUUUAUUAGGGUUUACUUACCUCGCUGUCGGCCUGUCGCUGCCUCGAGCCCUCGAGUGAAGUCGCCUACUCGCCCAGUCGCCCGACUUCGAGUCGAAGAGGAUUAGACAUAUUUCAUUUUCCUCUGUUCCUCAGUGGCUAAACUCUCUCGGCCCCGAGUCUCUCAAUCGAAUCCUCGCCGCCACCGGACGCCGCUAAUCAAUUCCGGCGACACACAGACCGGAACGCUGGAAGCCCUGUCCG